rnacentral:rRNA from 1 species
AGCAGCCGCGGUAAUUCCAGCUCCAAUAGCGUAUAUUAAAGUUGCUGCAGUUAAAAAGCUCGUAGUUGAAUUUCGGGACUAAUAUGUCGGUCGUGCCUCGGUACGUACUGGUUUAUUGGUUUCUCCUUUCUGAAGAACCAUGAUGUCAUUUAUUUGGUGUCGUGGGGAAUCAGGACUGUUACUUUGAAAAAUUAGAGUGUUUAAAGCAGGCUCACGCUUGAAUACAUUAGCAUGGAAUAAUGAAAUAGGACGUUUGAUUCUAUUUUGUUGGUUUCUAGGAUCGACGUAAUGAUUAAUAGGGAUAGUUGGGGGCAUUAGUACUCAAUUGUCAGAGGUGAAAUUCUUGGAUUUAUUGAAGACUAACUACUGCGAAAGCAUUUGCCAAGGAUGUUUUCAUUAAUCAAGAACGAAAGUUAGGGGAUCGAAGACGAUCAGAUACCGUCGUAGUCU